rnacentral:ncRNA from 1 species
ACGGGGAGCGCAGAGGCUGAGAGAACACCCAUCGAACCUGAUCUGGGCCAUACUAGCGAAGGGAUCGUCA